GAAGGACUUGCCCUUGGGUUAUAAAACACAGUGAAUGGGCUGUUGUUUGCAGCUGCAUGGGCAGCAGCUGCUAGGAUACCAAUAUGCAUGCUGUCACUUGACAACACCGAUGAUGAUAAGUUGGUUGGCUGUCUGUUUGCCCGCCUAAUUCCAAGUAGAAGCUGCUGUUUUUCAUCCCUGAUAAACAAAACUGAGUCACCA
rnacentral:misc_RNA from 1 species